ensembl:lncRNA
CACAGUCACAAACAAAAUCCACUGCCAACUCUGGAUUUUAACAAUAUCAAAUAGCAGUUUCUGCCAUGAUGGAAAUGACCAUGGUGGCCACUAAUAACAUGGGCCUAUUGCAUACUUGAAAGCUCACUUGGCCACUGCAUUGUCCAGCUGAGGUGACACUGGACACCCAGUAUCUCAGCCAGGCAUCAAGGGAGAGGGCCAAGACAAGCACAGAUGGAUCAAGAGACUCUGGGCUCCUGUCUAAAAAUCAUUUAAAGUGCAUGCAAUCUAAACAUCAAAGCAAUCACUCAAUGACC